AGCAGCCGCGGUAAUUCCAGCUCCAAUAGCGUAUAUUAAAGUUGUUGCAGUUAAAAAGCUCGUAGUUGAAUUUCGGAGUUCUACCGUCGGUCGGGCUACCAAGUCUGUACUGGUGUGUAGAAUUCCUACCUUCUGGGGAACUAUCAUGUUAUUAAUUUAGCGUGGUGGGAAACCAGGACCUUUACCUUGAAAAAAUUAGAGUGUUCAAAGCAGGCUUAUGUCUGAAUACAUUAGCAUGGAAUAAUAGAAUAGGACGGUGGUCCUGUUUUGUUGGUUUCUGAAUCACCGUAAUGAUUAAUAGGGAUAGUUGGGGGCAUUAGUAUUCAAUUGUCAGAGGUGAAAUUCUUGGAUUUAUUGAAGUACUAACUUCUGCGAAAGCAUUUGCCAAGGAUGUUUUCAUUAAUCAAGAACGAAAGUUAGGGGAUCGAAGACGAUCAGAUACCGUCGUAGUCUUAACCAUAAACUAUGCCGACUAGGGAUCGGAUGAUGUUAAUUUUUAAUGACUCAUUCGGCGCCUUAC
rnacentral:rRNA from 1 species